AACGAACGCUGGCGGCAGGCUUAACACAUGCAAGUCGAACGCCCCGCAAGGGGAGUGGCAGACGGGUGAGUAACGCGUGGGAAUCUACCGAGCCCUACGGAAUAACGCAUGGAAACGUGUGCUAAUACCGUAUACGCCCUUAGGGGGAAAGAUUUAGCGGGGUUUGAUGAGCCCGCGUUGGAUUAGCUAGUUGGUGGGGUAAAGGCCUACCAAGGCGACGAUCCAUAGCUGGUCUGAGAGGAUGAUCAGCCACAUUGGGACUGAGACACGGCCCAAACUCCUACGGGAGGCAGCAGUGGGGAAUAUUGGACAAUGGGCGCAAGCCUGAUCCAGCCAUGCCGCGUGAGUGAUGAAGGUCUUAGGAUUGUAAAGCUCUUUCACCGGAGAAGAUAAUGACGGUAUCCGGAGAAGAAGCCCCGGCUAACUUCGUGCCAGCCGCCGCCGUAAGAC
rnacentral:rRNA from 1 species